AAUGGGCGCAAGCCUGAUCCAGCUAUCCCGCGUGCAGGAUGACGGCCUAUGGGUUGUAAACUGCUUUUAUACAGGAAGAACGCUUCCAUUUAUGGGAGCCUGACGGUACUGUACGAAUAAGCACCGGCUAACUCCGUGCCAGCAGCCGCGGUAAUACGGAGGGUGCAAGCGUUAUCCGGAAUCACUGGGUUUAAAGGGUGCGUAGGCGGCGCUAUAAGUCAGAGGUGAAAGGCCACCGCUUAACGGUGGGACUGCCUUUGAUACUGUAGUGCUUGAAUCAGGCUGAGGUCGGCGGUAUGUGACAUGUAGCGGUGAAAUGCUUAGAUAUGUCAUAGAACACCAAUUGCGAAGGCAGCUGACUAGACCUUGAUUGACGCUGAGGCACGAAAGCGUGGGGAGCGAACAGGAUU
rnacentral:rRNA from 1 species